rnacentral:lncRNA from 1 species
AUAGCGAAAUAAAAUUUUCAUUGAGAAAAAGGGACUCCGAGAAUACGUGUUUCUGUGUACAACUGGCCGAAAUAUUCGACUAACGGGACUCUAUGAAAUCGCUAAAUCGCGCACACGUGCGGUGAAAAUCAGUGUAUUUUCCACUCCGAGAAAGAUCCAAGCGCUCUUCAUGGAACGGGGACUUCAGGAAGACGGUUAUUUAUUGGCCGCGCGGACCUCGAGUCGAAAUCCUAUUCAUGAUAGGUGCUUUAAUCGCAACGUGAUAUCCCAUCCUAUCCGCACAUCGGUAGAUACAUCCUUGGCUGGGCGACAUCGGGUUUCAUAAAUAAAGCCCCAUUGAUGAGAAGUUCGCUGAGGGAUGGGGUAGCAUGACCUGCUGACCCAGAUUUUCCAUGACUUGCGUCAUUCACAAUUUCUCCCCACCGUGUGCCUCGGCAACUACACGCAUCUAAAAUAGUGGAGCGCACAAAGGAAAGUGGCGAGAGAGUGAACGGAUGAUGGUCGCAGGCCAGACAACGGGAGAAUCGCAAAUUGAACGCAUCCUCGACGCAAGCAACCUCCGGGACUGCCACGAUAACCGACGACUUUUGCUUCUCUUUGAAGACAGUGCUCGCGUUCGCAUACCGGGUUCGCUCGACUGCAUCGAAUUCUUCCUGCGCUGAUCGCCGUCGUGUCAUCCUCAGCAGCUAAGUGUCGAGUGUUAGACUUCGCGGUGUCCGAGAAUCUUUCGCUGCGACCAUUCGGGAACCUAUAACGAACUCACAAAGCGUAUAUCGGGGCGAUAAUUUUCGAGUUCGUUCGCAUGAACUUCGAACUCCCAGACUUGCCUCUCUCCCCCGCGCGAUUCGAUCGCGAGUCGCGCUUGAGGUAAGUCAACGGUAAACCAGAGCGACAGGAGAAAGUUCAACCGCGCGCCGAAAUGGACCCGUGAUGAGCCAUGGUGCGCCCUCGCUGCUGCCUAGCAACUAUCCCCGGGGUCAAUGGGAUACGCGCACAUGGGAGAAUCUGGGUCAACCUGCAGGACCUUCAACGGAACCUCCUCCUUGGAACGGAGCCUCCUUGAAACCUCCCAUCGCCUUGCAGCGCAAGGAUACAUGCGAAGGAUGUAUGCACUAUAGGCACCGGAAUUUUCUCUCGACAGUCAAGAACGCGGCCAACAUUGACCUUUCAGAUAUUUACGGGCAUGUUCUAUUUAUACGUAAAGGUCGAUAAUUUGAUAUCGCGCCACCGCCGUCGAGAAAGUAGCCGGUGCUAAAUGUACAUUCUCGAUCCGAGACGUAUUAUCGGUCCCUUACGGGCUCUCGCCGCAUCACGCUACAAUUUUUUGAGAACGUCUACCCGUUGAACUCCAGUAAACGCUCGUCGAAUAUUUUCGCACCUCCACUACCUUCUGUGACCUCGCUCUCCCUGGCGCAAUGAGUUCACUGGCCCUCGGUUGCAAGGGUGUUUCCCUCUGACGUCACCGACUACCCGCGCGUCAUCGAGCGCCGCUGCCUGUGACAUUGAGCGCAUCUAGCACUGCUACCGCUUGCUAAGUGCUCAGUCAGCCUUUAGAUCUUAUUGGUCUGUACCCUUAGAUCUUCAUGAAAUUCGAAAGUACAUAUGAAGCAGUUCCAAAAAUUCACUGAAUACUUAUAGUAAUGUAUUGGACACCUGUGAUUGGGUGUAUUUUUUCAUAUCUGACAAAGAUCUAAAAAUAUAAUUUAUAUUAUAUUCAAGUUAUAUAUUCAA